CGAAGGUGGCUUCGGCCACCGGAGAGCGGCGGACGGGUGAGUAACGCGUGGGAACGUGCCUUUCGGUUCGGGAUAACCCAGGGAAACUUGGGCUAAUACCGGAUACGCCCUUCGGGGGAAAGAUUCAUUGCCGAAAGAUCGGCCCGCGUCGGAUUAGCUAGUUGGUGGGGUAAUGGCCUACCAAGGCGACGAUCCGUAGCUGGUCUGAGAGGAUGACCAGCCACACUGGGACUGAGACACGGCCCAG
rnacentral:rRNA from 1 species